CGGAGGAAUUGAACCGCAUCGAGAAAGGCAAGCAUUACGGAUUCCCGUUCCGGUUCUCGGAUUGGCGCGAGAAACCAUAUCCACACACGCCCGAUGCGCCAGUGAACGUCAAGUUUACGUUGCCCGUUGCCAACGAGGGUCCGGACGCUGGCGGUGAUUCAGCGAUGGCGCUCUCUACCUUUCAUCCGCAUUCGUCGCCAGCAGGAAUCGUGUUCCUGAGCGAUGAGUUCGGGCCGGAACUGCGCGGAACGCUUCUUGUGCCCCGCUUCGGCAACCUGCUUAAGAAACCGCGCGAUGUCGGCUUCGACCUUUUACAAGU
rnacentral:misc_RNA from 1 species